AGCGACCGCUAUUGGAAUUCGAUUAAGCCAUGCGAGUCGAGAGUCUUAGGGACUCGGCGUACCGCUCAGUAACACGUGGGUAACCUGCCCUGUGCUGGAGAAUAACCUCGGGAAACUGAGAAUAAUGCUCCAUAGUUCACCACGCCUGGAACGGUGGGUGGAUCAAAGCUCCGGCGGCACAGGAUGGGCCUGCGGCGUAUCAGGUCGUAGGGGGUGUAACGUACCCUCUAGCCUUCAACGCGUACGGGUUGUGGGAGCAAUCGCCCGGAGAUGGAUUCUGAGACACGAAUCCAGACCCUACGGGGUGCAGCAGGCGCGAAAACUUCACACUGCAGGAAACUGUGAUGAGGGAAUUCCAAGUGGCUAGACAAAGUCUAGUCUUUUUGUAACUUUUAAUUGGUUGCAGAAUAAGGGGUGGGAAAGACCGGCGCCAGCCGCCGCGGUAAUACCGGCACCUCAAGUGGUCGUCGCUUUUAUUGGGCCUAAAACGUCCGUCGCCUGUUUGGUACAUUCGUGGGUAAAUCAACCAGCUCAACUGGUUGAAUUCUGCGAGGACGGCCAGACUAGGGACCGGGAGAGGUAUGGGGUACUCUCAGGGUAGGGGUAAAAUCCAGUCAUCCUGAGGGGACCACCUGUUGCGAAGGCGCCAUACUAGAACGGAUCCGACGGUCAGGGACGAAGCCUAGGGGCACGAACCGGAUUAGAUACCCGGGUAGUCCUAGGUGUAAACGCUGUGGACUUGGUGUUGGGGAUUCUACGAGUAUCCCCAGUGCCGGAGUGAAGAUGUUAAGUCCACUGCCUGGGGAGUACGGUCGCAAGGCUGAAACUUAAAGGAAUUGGCGGGGGAGCACAGCAACGAGAGGAGCGUGCGGUUUAAUUGGAUUCAACGCCGGAAAACUCACCAGAGCCGACGGACAUAUGAAGAUCAGCGUGAUGAGCUUAUUGGAUUGUUCGAGAGGUAGUGCAUGGCCGUCGUCAGUUCGUACCGUAAGGCGUUCUGUUAAGUCAGAUAACGAACGAGACCCCUAUCGUCUAUUUGCUAGACGGAUCUCCGGAUUCGUCGCACUAUAGCGAGACCGC
rnacentral:rRNA from 1 species